UUUCAGCGGGGAGGAAGGCGUUAAGGUUAAUAACCUUGGCGAUUGACGUUACCCGCAGAAGAAGCACCGGCUAACUCCGUGCCAGCAGCCGCGGUAAUACGGAGGGUGCAAGCGUUAAUCGGAAUUACUGGGCGUAAAGCGCACGCAGGCGGUCUGUCAAGUCGGAUGUGAAAUCCCCGGGCUCAACCUGGGAACUGCAUUCGAAACUGGCAGGCUAGAGUCUUGUAGAGGGGGGUAGAAUUCCAGGUGUAGCGGUGAAAUGCGUAGAGAUCUGGAGGAAUACCGGUGGCGAAGGCGGCCCCCUGGACAAAGACUGACGCUCAG
rnacentral:rRNA from 1 species